AACAUUUAGAUUGACCCCGUUUUGGUGGGUGUUGACAUUCGUUGAGAUUAAUUGCAAUCCAGGGGUUGAUGGGGGGAAUUCUCGGAGGUUUUCAUCAAUUCAACUGUAGCUGGUGGCGCUUUGUGUCUGCAAUCAUCCAGUAGGGGGCGAACAUAUGGUUUUGGGUCAGGAAUCAUCGAGGGCGAACAUUGUUGGUGGCAUAUUAAAAAGGUAUGUUUCGUAUUAUUGCAGACAAUUUAUUUGCGGUAUAUGUAUGAAACUGGUUUAAUGUGGGGUGGAAUGUCGCGUCGGAAGAGUUUGAUUGUGGUUAGCAAGCCGAUUUAUUAGUUUUCCUGUUAUUAGGGUUUAUUUGAUUGCCGCACAUAUUAGAAGAGAAAAGUCUAGUUAAUAUGGCAUAUGAGGGUGCAUUGGUAAUUUCUAUCUUUUUAGGAAGGGCAAAAUUGUAAACAUGUGAGAGGACCGUUAACUUCCAAAAUGCCAGCGUUUAAAUAGGGGUUGUAAUAGUACAAUGACAGUGUGUUCUUCAUCGUCCUUCGUUGUCCAGUUUCAAUGGAAUUUGAAGCUCACAAACAUGUUCAGUGGAGGAGGAAGACAAAUCCUACCAUUUGGGGUUAACCAUACCCUUUCUUUCUCCAAAUAUGUUAGGGUUUUUCGUUUAUUUUCGCCGCCGAAACGGUGAACGAUGUUGAAAAAGAUGGUGGGGUGUGAGUAAAACACGACAAAGAAGAUGGUGGGGUGCGAGAGGAAGAAGAUGGUGUUUCUACAACGAGGUUCAAUUGAGUUUGUGAAUACGGAAUAACAGGCAGAUCGAAAAAUUAAAAAGAAUCGUAACUUUUGUUGAUAACCAACAUAAGAGGUGGGUUGGGGAAUGGGAUUUGGUGGUCUUUUGAAAAUUGGAUCUGUGUUGAAUCUGCCAAGGCAGUUGUCAUAUUGGCUUAUGACUCGUAUAGAUCCCUUAAAUUGUACGCUUACCUAUAGAGACAGUGGACAUUUUAGGUUAUCUCAAAAUCAGGUUCACUGGGUACUUGGGAUUCCAAAUGGGGGUAUUCCUGUUCCCACUUACAAAACUUUGGGUGGUGAUAUGAUGAAGAAGCUAAAUGGGUUAAUGGUGAGUUAUGGUAAAUCCUGGAAUACAAAGUCCAUUAGAACUGGUAGAGAGUACGUAUUUGAGGGUAUUCCGGUGACUGGUGACCUAAUAGCUCGGGUGGAGGGAAAAUGGGAUGACGAUCAUGAGGAAGAGUUCAAGACUUUGUUUUUAUUGUUGUCUCUACAAAUGUUGUUAUGUCCUACUUAGUCCUCCAGAUUGGCUGCGGAUGUAGUACCAUCAUUAACUUGUGUUGUAAAACCCGCUGAAUAUGAUUGGUGUAGCCUUGUUCUGAAGAAGCUCAUGGACAGUGUUGCAAUGUUUGCCCUGCGGUUUUACUCAUCAGGCUUUGCUAGUGGUUGUGGUGGAUGUCUCAUAUUUUUGGUGGUAUGUGAUUUAAUUUAAAUUUUCUCCUCAAUUGUUAUGAAGUGUAGCCAAGUAAGACUGUAGUUGGUUUUGUGUUAUAGAUUAUAUAUUUAGAUCGACUCGAUAGACAUCCUGUAUAGUGGGGAUAUUUUCCGAGGUUGGAGGUCUGGAACAUGGAAGAGAUACGUAUGGCUAUUAGAGAAGAGCGUAUUCCGGGGGGAGACUUCGGUCAACUUGGGAUGUUGGAUGUGGCUUAUGGUGAAACACAUCCUACCGAAGCAAGGGAUACAAAUGGGCCAGAGGGGUCACAACAGGUUCAUAGAACUGGGCAGUGUGAGUGUUUGUUAUAGGAGUAAGGAUGCACGAAGAAGGACCCCCAAAAAUAAGAGAAAAUGUAUGAAGACAACAACUAUGAGUAAAAGCAAAGGCUGAGUUAAGUUCUCAGGACCACGGUUAUACUUGGGAGAAGUCCAAUUCACCCCCACAUAGUAUGUCUUGUUUGAAAAAUGGAGAUGUAUUAUCUUAUAGAGUUGAGUUGUUGAAGAGGUAUCGGAGAUGUAGUUUGGUAUUCUUGUAUAUGUAAUGUAUGAAGUUAGGUAUAUUUGGUUAUUAUUUCUGCAAUUAAUAAUUGGUUUACAUAGGUGGAUAUCGGCUGAAGCUCUUUACAAGCUACAAUCAAUAACCUAUGGGGUUUUUAGAAUGAUGCACGGUUUGGGUUUGCCGUAUUGUGGAGGUCCAUCUGUAUCUUGUUCAAUGCUCUGGUUAGUUUAUUAGUUUUCCAUGUUAGUGUUUUUGUUUUCCAUAUUAAUGUCAUUGAUGGUAUUCUUGUUAUUUUCUCUUUUCUUUUCCAUAACAAUAAACAUACAGGGUGAUGUUGUAUUUUUUGCUGGUGGCAAUGGUGCCGGUUUUAUUGCUAGAGCUUCCAUUAAUCGGUUUCUACGUAGUCAAUGUUGUUCUUACAUGGCCAUUGUUUCUGAGGUUCAACCAUCUUCUGUCCUCGAGUCUCCUAUAAUGUCGAAUGUUUGUGUUGUGGCCAAAUAUGGACGUCUAUCAGAACUGUGUUUCAUUCACGCAGAUUCAAGCAUGCCAAACUAUAAGGUCAUAAAGCGUGUAAGUGGUUACAUAAAGUUAUUUUUAAUACAACAAUGGAUCUGGAUGCCUUUAGUAUGACUAGUUGUGGACCCACGCGCGUUGCGCGCGGUUCCCCAAGUUAUCGGUAUUAACUUUUGAUGGUUGUUUUUAUUGUUUUUUGUAUGUUCAUCAUAUAUUUAUGGACAUUUUCUCCUUGAGUAACCAUUACUCCGUAUAUUCUAAUUUCUCAUGAAAUAACUGGUUUAUAUUAACAAAGACUUUGAGAAUAAAAAAUUGGUAUGUAAUUAUUUUAUCUACAAAAAAUUUUAAGAUAAAUAAUUUCUCAUUCCCGGGCCUUUUUUCUCGGUCCCUAUAUCUUCCUACUGAUCACUCUUUCUUUUUCAACUCUUCUCUAACUUGGCUCCUUCUCUCUCGACAUACCCUUU